rnacentral:rRNA from 1 species
GUGGGGAAUAUUGGACAAUGGGCGAAAGCCUGAUCCAGCCAUGCCGCGUGUGUGAAGAAGGUCUUCGGAUUGUAAAGCACUUUAAGUUGGGAGGAAGGGCAGUAAGUUAAUACCUUGCUGUUUUGACGUUACCGACAGAAUAAGCACCGGCUAACUUCGUGCCAGCAGCCGCGGUAAUACGAAGGGUGCAAGCGUUAAUCGGAAUUACUGGGCAUAAAGCGCGCGUAGGUGGUUUUGUAAGUUGGGGGUGAAAUCCCCGGGCUCAACCUGGGAACUGCCUCCAAAACUGCAUGACUAGAGUACGGUAGAGGGUAGUGGAAUUUCCUGUGUAGCGGUGAAAUGCGUAGAUAUAGGAAGGAACACCAGUGGCGAAGGCGACUACCUGGACUGAUACUGACACUGAGGUGCGAAAGCGUGGGGAGCAAACAGGAUUAGAAACCCGUGUAGUCC